rnacentral:rRNA from 1 species
CAGCCGCCGCGGUAACACGUAGGGUGCAAGCGUUAAUCGGAAUUACUGGGCGUAAAGCGUGCGCAGGCGGUUAUAUAAGACAGAUGUGAAAUCCCCGGGCUCAACCUGGGAACUGCAUUUGUGACUGUAUAGCUAAAGUACGGCAGAGGGGGAUGGAAUUCCGCGUGUAGCAGUGAAAUGCGUAGAUAUGCGGAGGAACACCGAUGGCGAAGGCAAUCCCCUGGGCCUGUACUGACGCUCAUGCACGAAAGCGUGGGGAGCAAACAGGAUUAGAUACCCCCGUAGUCCCUGUCUCUUAUAA